AACGAACGCUGGCGGCAGGCUUAACACAUGCAAGUCGAGCGCCCCGCAAGGGGAGCGGCAGACGGGUGAGUAACGCGUGGGAAUCUACCCAUCUCUACGGAAUAACGCAUGGAAACGUGUGCUAAUACCGUAUACGUCCUUCGGGAGAAAGAUUUAUCGGAGAUGGAUGAGCCCGCGUUGGAUUAGCUAAGUGGUGGGGUAAAGGCCUACCAAGGCGACGAUCCAUAGCUGGUCUGAGAGGAUGAUCAGCCACGCUGGGACUGAGACACGGCCCAGACUCCUACGGGAGGCAGCAGUGGGGAAUAUUGGACAAUGGGCGCAAGCCUGAUCCAGCCAUGCCGCGUGAGUGAUGAAGGCCCUAGGGUUGUAAAGCUCUUUCACCGGUGAAGAUAAUGACGGUAACCGGAGAAGAAGCCCCGGCUAACUUCGUGCCAGCCGCCGCAGUAAGAC
rnacentral:rRNA from 1 species